UUCCAACGUGUAAUCAUAUUAUCAACAAAUACAGAGAAUUUUAGCUCGUCCUUUGCUUCUAAUUGCUUGCCCUUGUCAGUUGUAUUCAUAACACCUCUCACAUGGUGGCGAAUAUUGGAGGAGAAAAGUAGGCAUCGUGUCUUGCUUUUGGCUUCAUAAGGAAAGCCUCUAGUGAUUCUCCAUUAAGCAGGAUGCUGGGGCUUUGUGUGUAUGUGUGUAUGUGCAUGUAUGUAUGUGGGAGGCUGGACCCCAGUGUCAGGCUGAUACCGGGUUGAGCAACGGCUCCUUGUUGUCUCAGCCAACCCGGUGGUUCCCCUUCCCAUUCCCCCACUUGCAAAGGCAUAGGAAAGCCUUGUCAAGGCUGAGAAAGCUAAUUCCUGAAGCCUGUGGUCUGUGGGUGUUGGCAGUAAUGUUACCCCCCUUUUCUACCCCGGGUCAAAUAGAAACAAAUAUGGGAACUGUGUUUUGCUAGCAAUCUAUCAACAAGGUCUUGUUGUGACCCGUUUAGAAAGUUCACAAGGUACACAGAACUAAAUGUUUUGGUUGGCAGCGAUCAUGUGAAACCUGUUUAUUCUUAGAAUGAUCUGACCCAUAAAAGUCUUGAUAUAAAAGAUUGUGUACAGCAAAAAUAAAGCCGUCACUUGGGCCAUCAGCCCAGGGGACCCUCCUGUUCCCAAACUGGCUUCUCUUCUCUUUUUUUUCUUACAUUCUUCCCCUACCCUCAAGACCCUGAUCUUGGUGUUUGUUGCGCCGGUGGCAACAAGUGGCGCCCGAACAGGGACCUGAGACAACAAGGAGGAAAGCGAAAGCAGAUCGCAUGGCGUCUAAUUCAGUUUUAGUUUUCCAGAAUAUUAUCUUUCUCCAGUUCUACAAUUGCGUGCCUGUGUUCCACCUCCCUACUAUUUGAUUGUUGGAGAUGGGACCAUUACUCCAGUGAAAGAAGAUCGUCAUCAGUUAUACCGGCUGACUUGUCCUGCUUGUGUUUUGACCAAUUGUCUACCAGUAGAUGGACCCUUUAGAAGUGAAAUGAAGGUUUAUCUGCUCUUACAACCUCCCUAUUGGAUGUUGCCAGUAAAUGUUACAGGACCUUGGUAUCCUAAUUAUGGAAUGCAAUUUGCCUUAGAAAUCAGUAAACGGCUGCGCAGGACCAGACGGUUUCUUGGACUCUUGAUUGCUGGACUCAUAGCAGCAGUGACUGUAAUUGCCUCUGCAACUGUAUCUGUAAUAUCCUUACAUGAAAGUGCCCAAACAGCAUCCCAUGUAAAUGAAUUGGCUCAUAAUGUAUCCAAGGUGUUUGCCACUCAAGAGCGAAUAGACCGUAAAUUGGAAGCCCAAUUGGAGGCACUACAAGAAGCAUUGAUAUAUCUUGGUGAUCAGUUUGCUGUUUUGCGUACCAGACUUUCUAUAAUUUGUCAUGAUGCAUAUAAGCAUAUCUGUGUUACCCCUUUAGAGUAUACUAAUAUGACAUGGGGACAAGUGCGUCGUCAUUUACAAGGGGUUUGGCAUGACACUAACACUAGCUUAGACCUCUUACAGCUACAAGAAGAGAUAAAUGCUAUUGCAAGUAGCUCACUCAGUUUCCCUGACCCUGGAGAUCUCGCUGGAACCAUACUGCACCAACUUAAUGGGUUUAAUCCGUUUAAUAUUCUUCAGCAUUCCUUUUGGAUCUUUAUUGGAAUUGUUUCUGUAAUAUCUG